AUUGAACGCUGGCGGCAUGCUUUACACAUGCAAGUCGAACGGUAACAGGCCUUCGGGUGCUGACGAGUGGCGAACGGGUGAGUAAUGCAUCGGAACGUGCCCAGAGGUGGGGGAUAACGCAGCGAAAGCUGUGCUAAUACCGCAUGUGAUCUGAGGAUGAAAGCGGGGGACCAAGCAGCAAUGUUUGGCCUCGCGCCUCUGGAGCGGCCGAUGUCAGAUUAGGUAGUUGGUGGGGUAAAGGCCUACCAAGCCGACGAUCUGUAGCUGGUCUGAGAGGACGACCAGCCACACUGGGACUGAGACACGGCCCAGACUCCUACGGGAGGCAGCAGUGGGGAAUUUUGGACAAUGGGCGCAAGCCUGAUCCAGCAAUGCCGCGUGCGGGAAGAAGGCCUUCGGGUUGUAAACCGCUUUUGUACGAAACGAAAAGGCUCUGGCUAAUACCUGGGGCUGAUGACGGUACCGGAAGAAUAAGCACCGGCUAACUACGUG
rnacentral:rRNA from 1 species